GACGUAGGGUGCGAGCGUUGUCCAGAUUUAUUGGGCGUAAAGAGCUCGUAGGCGGCUCGUCGCGUCAGCUGUGAAAACCCGCGGCUUAACCGUGGGCUUGCAGCUGAUACGGGCGGGCUAGAGUUCGGUAGGGGAGACUGGAAUUCCUGGUGUAGCGGUGAAAUGCGCAGAUAUCAGGAGGAACACCGGUGGCGAAGGCGGGUCUCUGGGCCGAUACUGACGCUGAGGAGCGAAAGCGUGGGGAGCGAACAGG
rnacentral:rRNA from 1 species